CCCUAACAACACACAACAUUCCAGGAAUGUACUACCAAAGUUCUAUCAAUAUUUGAAUGUCCUGGACAUUUAGGGAACAUUCGGUGAACAUCUGUUUAAAUUAUUCCUGGAAUGUUACCAUAAGACAUUCUGUGAACAUACUACCAAUGUUCCUAUAUUUUAAGUUGCGAAAUAAUACAUACGUGUAACAGAUACAACAUUACUUAUAACAUACCAGACAAACUAAGUGACACUUUAGGCCUACAGUGCAAUAAUAUGUCAAAUUUAAAGAGUUUCCCAAGUUCAAUUAAUACAAUAUUAUAAACAUACAAAUGUAAUAAAAAUUAUUGUUCGCGAAUAUUCAAUUUGGAAUGCGAUUUUGUUAAUAAAAAAAAUACUUAUAACUUAUGCAAAACCCAAGAGAGGCAUUUAUAUUUAUUUCUUUUGCGUUCAUUUUCAAAUUCGCCGUGCAUAUAUUUUUGUGCAUGGCGCUUGAGAGGGCAUCACGUGACUAAAAACGACCAACCAACGACCUCGCUUCGGCCAUCUUGGCAUCUUCAUCUUGGCCACCUUGCUUUUGCUUUACCGUGGGUGGAUCGUUGUUUGUGUUUGUAUUAUUUGUGCUUUUUAAGAAUAUUUUUUUAAUUCGGAUACUUUUAUAAUAGCUUUAAUAGUAUUAUUAACAUAGUGAAUAAAAUGGUGUCCUGUUUUUAACGCAGUUGGAGUAGCAGAAACAAAUGUAGAUAAAAAAAUCUGCAGGAAUAACGUUUCAAUUAUGACAGAAGCUCCAAACAAAUGACUGUGAAUGAAAAGCCCUAUUAAAAGCUUUCCAGAAGAUCCUGCGAAGAAGACAUGAAGUAUAGAUCAGAUUUGUUAAUAGAGGAGUAUGUUCAAAACACUUUUUAGAAAAAGAUAUUGACAGAACUUCACUUUCAUCUGUUCGUUUAAGAGACUGUGCUGUUCCAAUAGCUUAUGUCACACAGAAUCAGCUGAGAGAAGUGGUCUACAAAAAACCAGAAAGGAAACGGAAUAUGCGGCUACGAAAAGCAAAAGAAAGGUUUACAAAGCAAAUGUGACACAUUUUUUUAUAAUAUUUAGGAA